rnacentral:rRNA from 1 species
UACGGGGGGGGCAAGCGUUGUCCGGAAUUACUGGGCGUAAAGAGCUCGUAGGCGGUUUGUCGCGUUGUCCGUGAAAACUCACAGCUCAACUGUGGGCGUGCGGGCGAUACGGGCAGACUGGAGUACUGCAGGGGAGACUGGAAUUCCUGGUGUAGCGGUGGAAUGCGCAGAUAUCAGGAGGAACACCGGUGGCGAAGGCGGGUCUCUGGGCAGUAACUGACGCUGAGGAGCGAAAGCGUGGGGAGCGAACAGG